rfam:Pseudomassariella vexata strain CBS 129021 BCR38scaffold_6, whole genome shotgun sequence.
GGUUUCAUAGUGUAGUUGGUUAUCACAUCGGAUUCUGAUUACGGGCAGUCAUUCAAUGAAUACUCCCUACCGGAUAUUCCGGGGACUGGGGUUCGAAUCCCCGUGAGACCU